CUACGGGGUGCUCCAGUGAGGAAUAUUGCACAAUGGGGGAAACCCUGAUGCAGCAACGCCGCGUGGAGGAUGACGCAUUUCGGUGUGUAAACUCCUUUUAUGAGUCAAGAAAAUGACGGUAGCUCAUGAAUAAGCACCGGCUAACUCCGUGCCAGCAGCCGCGGUAAUACGGAGGGUGCAAGCGUUACUCGGAAUCACUGGGCGUAAAGGACGCGUAGGCGGGCUUGUAAGUCAGGUGUGAAAUCCUACAGCUUAACUGUAGAGCUGCACUUGAAACUACGAGCUUAGAGUAUGGGAGGGGCAGAUGGAAUUAGUGGUGUAGGGGUAAAAUCCGUAGAUAUCACUAGGAAUACCGAAAGCGAAGGCGAUCUGCUGGAACAUUACUGACGCUAAGGCGUGAAAGCGUGGGGAGCAAACGGGAUUAGAUACCCCCGUAGUC
rnacentral:rRNA from 1 species